GGGGCGGAUGUAGCCAAGUGGAUCAAGGCAGUG
rnacentral:tRNA from 3 species